rnacentral:rRNA from 1 species
UACGUAGGGGGCAAGCGUUGUCCGGAAUCAUUGGGCGUAAAGCGCGUGUAGGCGGCUUGGUAAGUCCGUUCUGAAAGCCCGGGGCUCAACCCCGGGAGGCGGAUGGAUACUGUCAAGCUUGAGUCCGGAAGAGGCGAGUGGAAUUCCUGGUGUAGCGGUGAAAUGCGCAGAUAUCAGGAGGAACACCGGUGGCGAAGGCGGGUCUCUGGGCCGAUACUGACGCUGAGGAGCGAAAGCGUGGGGAGCGAACAGG